CCCGUGCUAAGUACUCUAUGGUUUGGUGCUUUAGCAGGUUUAUUGAUAGAAAUUAAUCAUUUAUUCCCAGAUGCUUUGUCAUUCCCUUUUUUUUAA
rnacentral:rRNA from 1 species